AUGUCAUAAAGAAAUCCUUGAGGCAUUUCACUGGCUCUGUACUUUGCUCUCUCCAGCGAGUGGUCCAGGUAGCCCUCUGACGUGGUUGCAAUGACUGUGGACACCAGAGGACGUAUCGCACCCGAGGCCUGAAAAAACAAGCCCUUGUCACAGCCUUGGAGGGGAGAUUUAGAAGAAAAUCACAGAAAUCUUCAACCUCACGCAUCAAAGCCAGCAAAAACAUUGCUAAAACAUCUUAUCCGGUUUCAUGCUGUUAGGAGUAGUGCUGAGAGGUGUCAACAAUAUGUUUAUCUUAGUGAUUUAUGGACUUUGGAACAGCCCGCGAUGCAGUCAAACCACAAACGAAGCUGGAUUUCUCGUCUUCUGCUGAGUUAUUCUGUUGCUGAUGCAGAUUUCAUGACUUUGCCUUGGAAGGAUGGGAUAUAUGUACUGGAUUCUUGUUCUGUAGCAUAUAUUAAAAAGAGUUACUCUGA